AAAGAAACCAACCGGGAUUGCCUCAGUAACGGCGAGUGAAGCGGCAAGAGCUCAAAUUUGAAAUCUGGCCCCCUCGGGGUCCGAGUUGUAAUUUGCAGAGGAUGCUUCGGGUGCGGCCCCCGUCUAAGUGCCCUGGAACGGGCCGUCAUAGAGGGUGAGAAUCCCGUCUGGGACGGGGUGUCCGCGUCCGUGUGAAGCUCCUUCGACGAGUCGAGUUGUUUGGGAAUGCAGCUCUAAAUGGGUGGUAAAUUUCAUCUAAAGCUAAAUACUGGCCGGAGACCGAUAGCGCACAAGUAGAGUGAUCGAAAGAUGAAAAGCACUUUGAAAAGAGAGUUAAAAAGCACGUGAAAUUGUUGAAAGGGAAGCGCUUGCGACCAGACUCGCCCGCGGGGUUCAGCCGGCAUUCGUGCCGGUGUACUUCCCCGCGGGCGGGCCAGCGUCGGUUUGGGCGGCCGGUCAAAGGCCCCCGGAAUGUAGUGCCCCUACGGGGGCACCUUAUAGCCGGGGGUGCAAUGCGGCCAGCCUGGACCGAGGAACGCGCUUCGGCACGGACGCUGGCAUAAUGGUUGCAAACGAC
rnacentral:rRNA from 3 species